CCGAGUUUACAACUCCCAAACCCCUGUGAACAUACCUUAUGUUGCCUCGGCGGAUCAGCCCGCGCCCCGUAAAAAGGGACGGCCCGCCACAGGAACCCUAAACUCUGUUUUUAGUGGAACUUCUGAGUAUAAAAAACAAAUAAAUCA
rnacentral:misc_RNA from 1 species